rnacentral:lncRNA from 1 species
AAUCCCCUCAAGCCUCAGGAAAAGGAUCUGCUGCCAAAGACACAGAGUAAACAAAAACCACCAACAUUCCUCCCAAGUAGACUAUAAACAGCACCAAUGACACAAAAGAAACAAACAAACAAACAAACAAACAAACAAACAAACAAACAAACAAACAAACAAACAAACAAACAAACAAACAAACAAACAAACAAACAAACAAACAAACAAACAAACAAACAAACAAACAAACAAACAAACAAACAAACAAACAAACAAACAAACAAACAAACAAACAAACAAACAAACAAACAAACAAACAAACAAACAAACAAACAAACAAACAAACAAACAAACAAACAAACAAACAAACAAACAAACAAACAAACAAACAAACAAACAAACAAACAAACAAAACAAACAAAACAUUAAGCCCGUCCCUGUAGCUUAAAUACCAAAGCAUGGCACUGAAGAUGCCAAGACGGCUGCCACAUGCACCCAGAGACAAAAGACUUAGUCCUAACCUUACCGUUAAUUUUUGCUAAAUAUAUACAUGCAAGUAUCUGCGCCCCAGUGUAAAUGCCCUUGAUCUCUUACUAAGAAGAAAGGAGCGGGUAUCAGGCACACCUAAACUGUAGCCCAAGACGCCUUGCUCAGCCACACCCUCACGGGUAUUCAGCAGUAAUUAACAUUAAGCAAUAAGUGAAAACUUGACUUAGUUAUAGCAACACCAGGGUUGGUAAAUCUUGUGCCAGCCACCGCGGUCACACAAGAGACCCAAAUUAACUGUAUACGGCGUAAAGAGUGGUAUCAUGUUAUCUCAACAACUAAGACCAAAGUGCAACUAAGCUGUCAUAAGCUCAAGAUGUACCUAAGACCUCCCUUAAAACGAUCUUAGCGCUUUUGAUCAAUUUAAUUCCACGAAAGCUAAGACACAAACUGGGAUUAGAUACCCCACUAUGCUUAGCCCUAAAUCUUGAUGCUCUUUCCCCCAUACCUAGAGCGUCCGCCUGAGAACUACGAGCACAAACGCUUAAAACUCUAAGGACUUGGCGGUGCCCUAAACCCACCUAGAGGAGCCUGUUCUGUAAUCGAUAACCCACGUUACACCCGACCGCCUCUUGCCAAAACAGCCUACAUACCGCCGUCGCCAGCUCACCUCCCCUGAGAGCCCAACAGUGAGCACAACAGCCUAAACCCGCUAAUAAGACAGGUCGAGGUAUAGCCUACGAGGCGGAAGAAAUGGGCUACAUUUUCUAAAAUAGAAAACUUACGGAAGGGGGUAUGAAAUUGGCCCCCCGAAGGCGGAUUUAGUAGUAAAGUGGGACAAUAUAAGCCUUCUUUAAAUCGGCCCUGGGGCACGUACAUACCGCCCGUCACCCUCCUCAUAAGCUACCCACCCUACAAUACCUAAUACAACUCCAAGCUGAAGAUGAGGUAAGUCGUAACAAGGUAAGUGUACCGGAAGGUGCACUUAGCAUACCAAGACGUAGCUAUAAGCCAAAGCAUUCAGCUUACACCUGAAAGAUAUCUGCCACCCACCAGAUCGUCUUGAAGCCAGCUCUAGCCCAACCACAUAACUAAAACGUUAAUCAAAAACCCACUUAAUCCCUAAAACUAAAACAUUCUUUAAACUUAGUAUGGGCGAUAGAAAAGAUUUUUUGGCGCGAUAGAGAUUCCGUACCGUAAGGGAAAGAUGAAAUAGUAAUGAAAAACAAAGCAAUAAACAGCAAAGAU